rnacentral:lncRNA from 1 species
CUGUGGUGACUGAACAUGUUUAUAAACUGCAUUUCUCUCCUUCAGGACAGAGAGGACCAAAAGGAGCUUUCUGCAAGUAAUGACAGCCUGUUUGAAAACGCCAAGGUACUGUGAUGAAAAAUAUUCAUAAAUAUUUAUUUUAAUGUACGUCUAACAAUUUUUUUUAUUUAAAAAACAAAUGUUUCAACAUGCUGGGAUUGUCUUUUACGUUUUAUUCGUUUAAUUGUAAUUACAGAUGCUCCUGUAGUUUGUCCUGUCACUUACAGUGUUUGUCUGUUUCCAGGAGAAAAGUAUUUUCAGUGGCAUGUUUAAAAAGACUCCUAAACCAGCAGAGGGGGCUACAACAGACGAGGUACAGCAAUGACCCUUUUAAAGUCCACAGCACAUCACACCUUUUGACUCUACUUUGAAUUCGUGUUUCGUGUUUUGUUGUGUGCGUUCAGGAAUUAAGCGAGGAUAAGAAGUCUGUCAGUUCUGAAAAUCUGUUAGGAAGCAAACGCAUCAAAGGUACAGAUGUUGUCCAGCGGUCGCAAUCUCAGCCGGUUUCUUUGUUCUGCUGGGGAAUAUUUUAACAUUAACGUGUGAAUGUUUCAGGAGAAGACUGGAGGACUGGCAGGGAUCUUCAAGAAGUCUCCAAAACCAGCUCCGCGCUCGAUCGCUGCUAAGGAUCCUCUCAGAGACACAAACGAGCUUUACGGCAGCUGCGACAGCCUCGCAGAUACUGCCGAGGAUAAUCUCGGUGAAUUGUCGAACAGUAACGAUAACCUUUCUGAAACGAGCGCGACAAAGGAGAAAAAAGGAGGCUUUGCUGGAAUAUUCAGGAGGACGCCCAAAACAGUUGAACAUCAGGUAUAAGAUGUUAUCACUGAAAUAUGAAAUAUGAAAUAUGUUUAUCAACACUCAGUAGAAGCUGCAACAAUAGACGUCGCCGUAGUAACAGUAUGACUC